UACGGGGGGAGCAAGCGUUGUUCGGAAUCACUGGGCGUAAAGAGUGCGUAGGCGGUUCGUUAUGUCUGUGGUGAAAGCCCUGGGCUCAACCUAGGAAUGGCCAUGGAAACUGGCGGGCUGGAGUAUGGCAGAGGGGGGUGGAAUUCCGCGUGUAGCAGUGAAAUGCGUAGAGAUGCGGAGGAACACCGAUGGCGAAGGCAGCCCCCUGGGCUAAUACUGACGCUGAGGCACGAAAGCGUGGGGAGCAAACAGG
rnacentral:rRNA from 1 species